CUUGUACUGCCUCCGUCCGAAAAUACUUGUCAUUGAAAUGGAUGUAUCUAGAUGUAUUUUAGUUCUAGACACAUCCAUUUUGAUGACAAGUAAUUCCGGACGGAGGGAGUAGUUG
rnacentral:pre_miRNA from 1 species